rnacentral:sRNA from 1 species
AUGUAGCACUCGUACACUCCGGUUCUGAGCGCGCCGUCCGCACCCACCUGACGACUGCUCGCUACGUUUUGUUAGCC